GAGAGUUGAUUGUUUUCAAUAUUUUUAAUUUGGAGGUUGAUUUAUGCUGGGUUCCAUGGCCACUGUGAAGCCCCACAUGGAGGAGAGGACACCCAACUGCCUUUCCAUCUCCAGCCACCCCCUCACUCUGCCCACAGGGAGGAGCUGCCCGUGCAGAGCUGGAGCUCUCACAGAGGCAUGGAUAUAAAGAAAGAAACCCUAAUGGUGUGUAGUUCCUGCCUUCCGUGUAAAUCACCAUGGGGUGUGAGGCAAAAAAGCUCGACAGGGCGGCAGAAUGGCAGGGGAAAUGCGGAUUUUUGGAAUGCUUGGGAUUGAAAUGCAGCUUCCAAGAGGAGUCAGGGCCUGUCUUGUGGAUGGG